rnacentral:rRNA from 1 species
AACGAACGCUGGCGGCAGGCUUAACACAUGCAAGUCGAACGCAUCCUUCGGGGUGAGUGGCAGACGGGUGAGUAACGCGUGGGAACGUGCCCUUCAGUUCGGGAUAACCCAGGGAAGCUUGGGCUAAUACCGGAUACGUGCGAGAGCAGAAAGAUUUAUCGCUGAAGGAUUGGCCCGCGUCUGAUUAGAUAGUUGGUGGGGUAAUGGCCCACCAAGGCGACGAUCAGUAGCUGGUCUGAGAGGAUGAUCAGCCACAUUGGGACUGAGACACGGCCCAAACUCCUACGGGAGGCAGCAGUGGGGAAUAUUGGACAAUGGGCGCAAGCCUGAUCCAGCCAUGCCGCGUGAGUGAUGAAGGCCUUAGGGUUGUAAAGCUCUUUCGUCCGGGACGAUAAUGACGGUACCGGAAGAAGAAGCCCCGGCUAACUUCGUGCCAGCCGCCGCAGUAA